rnacentral:rRNA from 1 species
GACGAACGCUGGCGGCGUGCCUAAUACAUGCAAGUCGAACGCAUUUUCUUUCACCGUAGCUUGCUACACCGAAAGAAAAUGAGUGGCGAACGGGUGAGUAACACGUGGGUAACCUGCCCAUCAGCGGGGGAUAACACUUGGAAACAGGUGCUAAUACCGCAUAAUUCCAUUUACUGCAUGGUAGAUGGAUGAAAGGCGCUUUUGCGUCACUGAUGGAUGGACCCGCGGUGCAUUAGCUAGUUGGUGGGGUAACGGCCUACCAAGGCUGCGAUGCAUAGCCGACCUGAGAGGGUGAUCGGCCACACUGGGACUGAGACACGGCCCAGACUCCUACGGGGGGCAGCAGUAGGGAAUCUUCGGCAAUGGACGCAAGUCUGACCGAGCAACGCCGCGUGAGUGAAGAAGGUUUUCGGAUCGUAAAACUCUGUUGUUAGAAAAGAACAAGGAUGAGAGUGGAAAGUUCAUCCCUUGACGGUAUCUAACCAGAAAGCCACGGCUAACUACGUG